GACGAACGCUGGCGGCGUGCCUAAUACAUGCAAGUCGAGCGGACUUUCAAGAAGCUUGCUUUUUGAAAGUUAGCGGCGGACGGGUGAGUAACACGUGGGCAACCUGCCUGCAAGACGGGGAUAACUCCGGGAAACCGGGGCUAAUACCGGAUAAUAUCUUCCUUCGCAUGAAGGAAGGUUGAAAGGCGGCGCAAGCUGCCGCUUGCAGAUGGGCCCGCGGCGCAUUAGCUAGUUGGUGAGGUAACGGCUCACCAAGGCGACGAUGCGUAGCCGACCUGAGAGGGUGAUCGGCCACACUGGGACUGAGACACGGCCCAGACUCCUACGGGAGGCAGCAGGAGGGAAUCUUCCGCAAUGGACGAAAGUCUGACGGAGCAACGCCGCGUGAGCGAAGAAGGGCUUCGGAUCGUAAAGCUCUGUUGUCAGGGAAGAACAAGUACCGUUCGAACAGGGCGGUACCUUGACGGUACCUGACCAGAAAGCCACGGCUAACUACGUG
rnacentral:rRNA from 1 species